rnacentral:lncRNA from 1 species
GGGUGCGGGAGAGGGGUGUGUGCUGGAACGCUGAAGCUCAUUCCAGCUGCUACAGUGUCCCUGUUCUCACCAGCGUGACAAGCAUCACCACCAGGAUGCAAGAAGGACCUAUGAAAAGCUGGAGAUGGCGGCAUGCAUCUGGAAUCCCUGCACUCUGUUCAUGGGCCGAGAAGUAUAGAAAGGAAAAUGCCCCAGGAAGCUUUACAUGAGAAUGUAACACAGCGGCAGAAAUCACAAGAUACUUUGCCUCAAAUGAGAUAAAAGAUGAGAACUAAC